rnacentral:rRNA from 1 species
AAGCGGAGGAAAAGAAACCAACAGGGAUUGCCUUAGUAACGGCGAGUGAAGCGGCAAUAGCUCAAAUUUGAAAGCUGGCGUCUUCGACGUCCGCGUUGUAAUUUGUAGAGGAUGCUUCGGCGAAGACUCCUGCCUAAGUCCCCUGGAACGGGGCGUCAUAGAGGGUGAGAAUCCCGUAUGUGGCGGGCAGUCUAAGCCAUGUGAAGCUCCUUCGACGAGUCGAGUUGUUUGGGAAUGCAGCUCUAAAUGGGAGGUAAAUUUCUUCUAAAGCUAAAUAUUGGCCAGAGACCGAUAGCGCACAAGUAGAGUGAUCGAAAGAUGAAAAGCACUUUGGAAAGAGAGUUAAAAAGUACGUGAAAUUGUUGAAAGGGAAGCGCUUGCAACCAGACUCGCUCGUAGUUGCUCAGCCGGCCUCUUGGCCGGUGUACUCUUCUACGAUCGGGCCAGCAUCAGUUCGGGCGGCAGGAUAAAGGUGUCGGGAAUGUAGCACCCUUCGGGGUGUGUUAUAGCCCGGCGCGGAAUGCUGCCAGCCUGGACUGAGGAUCUCGCUUCGGCAAGGAUGCUGGCGUAAUGGUUGUAAGCGGCCCGUCUU